GACGAACGCUGGCGGCGUGCUUAACACAUGCAAGUCGAGCGGUAAGGCCCUUUCGGGGGUACGACGAGCGGCGAACGGGUGAGUAACACGUGGGUGACCUGCCCUUAGCUCUGGGAUAAGCCGUGGGAAACUGGGUCUAAAUACCGGAUAUGACUCCAUGACGCAUGUUGUGGGGUGGAAAAGCCUUGUGCGGCUAGGGAUGGGCCCGCGGCCUAUCAGCUU
rnacentral:rRNA from 1 species